GAUGAACGCUAGCGGCAGGCCUAACACAUGCAAGUCGAGGGGCAGCACGUCUUCGGAUGGUGGCGACCGGCGCACGGGUGCGUAACGCGUAUGCAACCUACCUCUUACAGUGGGAUAGCCCAGAGAAAUUUGGAUUAAUACCGCAUAGUAUACAGAUUCAGCAUUGGGACUGUAUUAAACAUUUAUGGGUAAGAGAUGGGCAUGCGUUCUAUUAGUUAGUUGGAGUGGUAACGGCACCCCAAGACAGCGAUAGAUAGGGGCCCUGAGAGGGGGAUCCCCCGACACUGGUACUGAGACACGGACCAGACUCCUACGGGAGGCAGCAGUGAGGAAUAUUGGACAAGUGGGCGAGAGCCUGAUCCAGCCAUGCCGCGUGCAGGAAGACGGCCCUAUGGGUUGU
rnacentral:rRNA from 1 species